CACAAAGCAAUGCAACCAUCACAAGCCACAUGGUAUUUUGCUUAAACCUGCAAAAAUCUCUGUGGCAUUAUUCACUCCCACUCCCAUUUUCGCUUAAUUAUUUAAUAGUUUUCUAUGAUAUAUUAAUUAUUACUCGCCUACUUGUUUUCCUCUUGACUCGCAUCCAUUAUCUCUUCAACACAAUAACCACAUCAGAGAUUUUCUCUAACUGAAACCCUCAAGAUAUGCCUGAAGAAGCAGAAGAAUCCACGUCUGUUCCUCUCAGCCAUCCCGACAAUGGCGGCGACGAUCCCGAGGAUCCAGCCAAGUCUCCCCCGUCUUCCUCCAAUUCCUCUACUCGCGAGGCUUGCUGUUAUGUUCUCCAAAGUUGGGUCUCAAAGAAGUUUAUGACUGGAUGUGUUGUACUUUUCCCCAUAGCGGUGACAUUUUUUAUUACAUGGUGGCUUGUUCAGUUUGUUGAUGGUUUCUUCAGCCCAAUUUAUGAACGGCUUGGCAUUGACGUAUUUGGACUUGGAUUUGUCACUUCUCUGGUGUUUGUAUUCUUUGUUGGUGUUUUUGUCUCAUCAUGGAUAGGCUCCACUGUUUUCUGGCUUGGGGAAUGGUUCAUAAAGCGAAUGCCCUUUGUUAGGCACUUAUAUUCAGCAUCCAAACAAAUUAGUGCUGCAAUUUCUCCAGAUCAGAAUACAACAGCAUUUAAAGAGGUUGCAAUUAUCCGUCAUCCUCGUGUUGGUGAAUAUGCAUUUGGUUUUAUCACAUCAACAGUAAUCCUUCAGAGAGAUAAUGAAGAUGAAGAGUUAUGCAGUGUUUUUGUCCCAACAAAUCACCUGUACAUUGGCGAUAUAUUCCUUGUGAACUCUAAGGACAUCAUAAGACCAAAUCUGUCAAUACGAGAAGGCAUAGAGAUCAUUGUCUCUGGAGGUAUGACAAUGCCGCAAAUGAUUAUGCCUCUGGAACGGAUUGCUCGACAAAGUGAAAGAAUUCCUUUGAACAGGAUUGUUUGAUGGCACCAAACAUAGAAACAAAGAAGCAACUCUCUUCAGUUGCUUUCAAUUCCCACUGACAAGCAAGAGCUUGGACAAGAGCCUUCAAUGGGGGCGGGAAGUCCUUGAGAAGGGUAUCAGAUGGUAGGUCAACAAUGGGCAAUCCAUUUUAUGUGACGAUAAGUGGAUCCCUAAAUCCUUACCCAACAAACCUCUGCUUAGACCAGAUGCCAAUGGAAUGAUUCACUGGGUCUCUCAAUUGUUGGAUGAAACGGGAAGUGGUUAGAUUUAAAUGUGCACAAGUCGGUAUUUCUUGAAGCGGAAAUUCAUAAUAUUCUCUCUAGUCCAGUCAAUCUUUUUAAUAGAGAGGAUAGACUAAUCAGGCAUCAUACCAGACAUGGAAAAUUUACUGUCAAAUCCGGGUAUUAUAUUGCAAGAGAGAUCAAGCUUCAGAGCAAUAUUCCAAUGCCAUCAGAUCCUGGACCAAGUCACUCCCCCAACAUUUCUACCUUCUGGAAGAGUCUUUGGAAGCUUAAAAUCCCACCGAAGCUAUCUUUUUAUGGAAGUUAUGCGGAGACUGCUUGCCGACUAAAUCAGUAAUUAAAAGAAGAUUUCCUGCAUGUCCCAGAUGAAUGUCGCUUUUGUGGAGAAUCUGAAACUCCGAGGUAUGCCUUUCUCACUUGUCCAAAGGCCAAAGAAGUGUGGUUUAACUCUCCACUUCACCUGCGUUCAACUUUUAUCCAAGGCACUUACAUGAAAACUGUUGGGAAGAGAUUAACUCAAGCUUAUUGCAGCACCGAGUGGAAGAUGAAACUCUAUAUCUCCCAGUGUUUAUCUUAUGGCAUAUUUGGUAACCGCGAAAUCUCCAAGUUUUUAAUAACCAAUAUAUGGAUGCCAACCAGGUGAUAGAGGCAGCGCUUAAUCACCAUCGGGAAUUUCUUUCGGCUCAAGUUUGUAUUAGGCAGCAAAUCACCAACAUAACUCUUCCACACACUUGGUACUCUUCCUCUGAAGACAUCAUUAAGAUCAAUUAUGAUGCUGCUGUUAAUAAGAAAGACCGAGCAGGUGUUAUAGCAGCAGUGACUCGUGACUCAAAUGGAAGAGUUUUGGGUUGGAUUUGUAGGAAAAUUACUGGUCUAGUGGAGCCUCUUGUGAUGGAAGCUUUAACAUGUAGAGAGGUUGUUCAGUUGGCAAUCUCCAGACAUUUCAACAAAGUAAUGCUAGGAGGGGAUGCCCAAUCUGUUAUUAAUUGCUGUUAGGGCAAGGAAAGGAAAGUAUCCUGGCAAUCCAGGUCUGAUAGCUGAUAUCAAUGUUUUCAAGCACCAAUUGCAAUAUACUUCUUUCCUUUGUGUUAAAAGAGAUGGUAACAGGGCGGCACAUGUGUUAGCCGCCAAAGCCCUUCAUGACCCUUCCUUCAGGGUUAAUCCUUUGUAUCAUACUAUGUUAGCUCUUCUUUGCUGAUUUAGGCUAUUUAUGAAUUCCAAUCUUAAAAAAUAAAUAAUUAAAUAAGCAUGGCAAGAAUUUGGUGCAGCUGUGUUUUCUUAUUGAAG
rnacentral:misc_RNA from 1 species